GUGCUUGCUUCUGCAGCACAUAUACGAAAAUUGGAAUGAUAGAGAGUAGAUUAGCAUGGCACCUGAUCAAGAAUGACACACAAAUUUGUAAAGCAUUCCAUAUUUUU
ensembl:snRNA U6 U6 spliceosomal RNA